AUUGAACGCUGGCGGCAGGCUUAACACGUGCAAGUCGAGCGAGCGGCGGAAGAGUGAGUAAUGUCUGGGACACUGCCUGGUGGCGGGGGAUAACUACUGGCAACGGUAGCUAAUACCGCAUACCAUAGGAUGUGACCAGAUGGGAUUAGCUAGUCGGUUGGGUAAAGGCUCACCUGGGCGACGCACACUAGCUGGUCUGAGAGGAUGACCAGCCAAACCGUAACUUAACCACGGUCCAGACUCCUACGAGAGGCAGCAGUGGGGAAUAUGGCACAAUGGGCGCAAGCCUGAUGCAGACAUGCCGCGUGUAUGAAGAGGGCCUUCGGGUUGUAAAGUACUUUCAGCGGGGAGGCGUUACCCGCAGAAGAAGCACCGGCGAACUCCGUGCCAGCAGCCGCGGUAAUUC
rnacentral:rRNA from 1 species